rnacentral:rRNA from 1 species
ACACACCGCCCGUCCACACCAUGAGAGUUGGAAAUACCCGAAGCCUGUGAGCUGACCUUUGGGGGCAGCAGUCGAAGGUAGAGCCAAUGAUUGGGGUGAAGUCGUAACAAGGUAAC